GAUGAACGCUGGCGGCGUGCCUAAUACAUGCAAGUCGAGCGAAUAGACGAGGAGCUUACUCCUCUGACGUUAGCGGCGGACGGGUGAGUAACACGUGGAUAACCUACCUAUAAGACUGGGAUAACUUCGGGAAACCGGAGCUAAUACCGGAUAACAUGUUGAACCGCAUGGUUCAACAGUGAAAGACGGUCUUGCUGUCACUUAUAGAUGGAUCCGCGUCGCAUUAGCUAGUUGGUAAGGUAACGGCUUACCAAGGCAACGAUGCGUAGCCGACCUGAGAGGGUGAUCGGCCACACUGGAACUGAGACACGGUCCAGACUCCUACGGGAGGCAGCAGUAGGGAAUCUUCCGCAAUGGGCGAAAGCCUGACGGAGCAACGCCGCGUGAGUGAAGAAGGUCUUCGGAUCGUAAAACUCUGUUAUUAGGGAAGAACAAAUGUGUAAGUAACUAUGCACGUCUUGACGGUACCUAAUCAGAAAGCCACGGCUAACUACGUG
rnacentral:rRNA from 1 species